rnacentral:rRNA from 1 species
UACGUAGGGGGGCAAGCGUUGUCCGGAUUUAUUGGGCGUAAAGAGCGUGUAGGCGGCCAUACAGGUCAGCUGUGAAAACUCGAGGCUCAACCUCGAGACGUCGGUUGAAACCGUAUGGCUAGAGUCCGGAAGAGGGAGAGUGGAAUUCCCGGUGUAGCGGUGAAAAUGCGCAGAUAUCGGGGAAGAACACCCGUGGCGAAGGCGGCUCUCUGGGACGGUACUGACGCUGAGGAGCGAAAGCGUGGGGAGCGAACAGG